CUUCCCCCUCUUGCGCAUUUCGCAGCUGCGCUGGUGUGGGGCAUGAGAGCGAGGUGGCUCCAGGUCUCCGCGGAGCAGCUGCCAGUGGGAGAGCGAGGAGAGGCGAGGGGGCGGCAGCCUCGGCCCGAAGACUGUUUCCUUGGGCCCUCGGUUUAAUGCUGUCCACCACCCAUGAGCAAAACUCUUUCUAUGGCAAGAAACAUCGAACACCUGUAGUGGACGGAGAUCCUGGGGUCCUAAAUUUGUGGCCAAUUGCACUGUGUCCUGGAGACGGAGUGGAACCACAGCCCAGAGCCCCUGGGAAUCAUCCCUGAAAGACUGCAUUACUUCUCCAUGGAGUCUUCCUCCUCCUGCUUAUUUUCUUUUUGGGUAAGGUCUAUCUUUUUA
rnacentral:lncRNA from 1 species